rnacentral:rRNA from 1 species
CGGAGUGGACGAACCUCUGGUGUACCGGUUGUCACGCCAGUGGCAUCGCCGGGUAGCUAUGUUCGGAAGAGAUAACCGCUGAAAGCAUCUAAGCGGGAAACUCGCCUUAAGAUGAGAUAUCCCUGGGGACUAGAUCCCCUUGAAGGGUCGUUCGAGACCAGGACGUUGAUAGGUCAGGUGUGUAAGCGCAGUAAUGCGUUCAGCUAACUGAUACUAAUUGCCCGUAAGGCUUGAUCCU